rnacentral:rRNA from 1 species
GGGCCCGCACAAGCGGCGGAGCAUGCGGAUUAAUUCGAUGCAACGCGAAGAACCUUACCAAGGCUUGACAUAUAGAGGAAAAGUGCAGAAAUGCACUCCCCGCAAGGUCUCUAUACAGGUGGUGCAUGGUUGUCGUCAGCUCGUGUCGUGAGAUGUUGGGUUAAGUCCCGCAACGAGCGCAACCCUCGUCCUAUGUUGCCAGCACGUAAUGGUGGGAACUCAUGGGAUACUGCCGGGGUCAACUCGGAGGAAGGUGGGGAUGACGUCAAAUCAUCAUGCCCCUUAUGUCUUGGGCUUCACGCAUGCUACAAUGGCCGGUACAGAGGGCUGCAAUACCGCAAGGUGGAGCGAAUCUCUUAAAGCUUGUCUCAGUUCGGAUAGGAGUCUGCAACUCGACUCCUUG